rnacentral:rRNA from 1 species
UAACACAUGCAAGUCGAGCGGCAGUCGGGAAGAGUAGCUUAGCUAUCUUUGCCGGCGAGCGGCGGACGGGUGAGUAAUGCCUAGGGAUCUGCCCAGUCGAGGGGGAUAACGGUUGGAAACGAACUGCUUAUACCGCAUACCGCCCUACGGGGGAAGGGAGGGGACCCUUCGGGCCNUUCCGCGAUUGGAUGACCCUAGGUGGGAUUAGCUAGUUGGUGAGGUAAUGGCUCACCCAGGCGACGAUCCCUAGCUGUUUUGAGAGGAUGAUCAGCCACACUGGGACUGAGACACGGCCCAGACUCCUACGGGAGGCAGCAGUGGGGAAUAUUGCACAAUGGGGGAGACCCCUGAUGCAGCCAUGCCGCGUGUGUGAAGAAGGCCUUCGGGUUGUAAAGCACUUUCAGUAGGGAGGAAAGGUAGCAGCUUAAUACGCUGUUGCUGUGACGUUACCUACAGAAGAAGGACCGGCUAACUCCCGUGCCAGCAGCCGCGGUAAUACGGAGGGUCCGAGCGUUAAUCGGAAUUACUGGGCGUAAAGCGUGCGCAGGCGGUUUGUUAAGACGAGAUGUGAAAGCCCCGGGCUCACCCUGGGAAUUGCAUUUCGAACUGGCGAACUAGAGUCUUGUAG